AUACAGCGAAACUCGCGAAUGGCUCAUUAUAUAAGUUAUCGUUUAUUUGAUAGUGCCUUACUACUUGGAUAACCGUGGUAAUUCUAGAGCUAAUACAUGCUAAAAACCCCGACUUCGGAAGGGGUGUAUUUAUUAGAUACAAAACCAAUGCCCUUCGGGGCUCUUUGGUGAUUCAUGAUAACUAUACGAAUCGCACGGCCUUGCGCCGGCGAUGGUUCAUUCAAAUUUCUUCCCUAUCAACUUUCGAUGUUUGGGUAUUGGCCAAACAUGGUUGCAACGGGUAACGGAGGGUUAGGGCUCGACCCCGGAGAAGGAGCCUGAGAAACGGCUACUACAUCCAAGGAAGGCAGCAGGCGCGCAAAUUACCCAAUCCCGACUCGGGGAGGUAGUGACAAUAAAUACUGAUACAGGGCCCUUUCGGGCCUUGUAAUUGGAAUGAGUACAAUUUAAAUCCCUUAACGAGGAACAAUUGGAGGGCAAGUCUGGUGCCAGCAGCCGCGGUAAUUCCAGCUCCAAUAGCGUAUAU
rnacentral:rRNA from 1 species